AUUGAACGCUGGCGGCAGGCCUAACACAUGCAAGUCGAGCGGAUGAAGGGAGCUUGCUCCUGGAUUCAGCGGCGGACGGGUGAGUAAUGCCUAGGAAUCUGCCUGGUAGUGGGGGAUAACGUCCGGAAACGGGCGCUAAUACCGCAUACGUCCUGAGGGAGAAAGUGGGGGAUCUUCGGACCUCACGCUAUCAGAUGAGCCUAGGUCGGAUUAGCUAGUUGGUGGGGUAAAGGCCUACCAAGGCGACGAUCCGUAACUGGUCUGAGAGGAUGAUCAGUCACACUGGAACUGAGACACGCUCCAGACUCCUACGGGAGGCAGCAGUGGGGAAUAUUGGACAAUGGGCGAAAGCCUGAUCCAGCCAUGCCGCGUGUGUGAAGAAGGUCUUCGGAUUGUAAAGCACUUUAAGUUGGGAGGAAGGGCAGUAAGUUAAUACCUUGCUGUUUUGACGGUACCAACAGAAUAAGCACCGGCUAACUUCGUG
rnacentral:rRNA from 1 species